CGGAGAAGAAGCCCCGGCUAACUUCGUGCCAGCAGCCGCGGUAAUACGAAGGGGGGCUAGCGUUGCUCGGAAUUACUGGGCGUAAAGGGCGCGUAGGCGGACAUUUAAGUCGGGGGUGAAAUCCCAGGGCUCAACCCUGGAACUGCCUUCGAUACUGGAUGUCUUGAGUGCGGGAGAGGUGUGUGGAACUCCGAGUGUAGAGGUGAAAUUCGUAGAUAUUCGGAAGAACACCAGUGGCGAAGGCGACACACUGGCCCGUUACUGACGCUGAGGCGCGAAAGCGUGGGGAGCAAACAGGAUUAGAUACCCCAGUAGUCCAAGCCGAAUU
rnacentral:rRNA from 1 species